rnacentral:rRNA from 1 species
UACGUAGGGGGCGAGCGUUGUCCGGAGUUACUGGGCGUAAAGCGCACGCAGGCGGUCUGCUAAGUUUGGAGUGACAGUUGGUGGCUUAACUGCCAAAGUGCUUCGAAAACUGACAGACUUGAGGGCUUCAGAGGGACACGGAAUUCCGGGUGGAGUGGUGAAAUGCGUAGAGAUCCGGAGGAACACCAAAGGCGAAAGCACUCUGCUGGGCCGACACUGACACUGAGAGACGAAAGCUAGGGGAGCGAAUGGG